rnacentral:lncRNA from 1 species
UGCUGGGCCUCCUCUCUCUAUCUGAGGUAAGAGAAGUCUUUUGUAAAAAGAAUAAUAAAAUUGGUUUUUGAAAUAAUGCCAUAGUCUAAAAGAAAAUGGGAAAAUAGAAAGUAAAAAUAUAGUUGGGCUUGUAAAGCCAUGCUCCAGUUUAUAAAAAUAAAUUGGGCAUUAUUUAAAGAGUUCAAAUAAAACCUUUUUUAUUUAGAAUAGGCUAUGUUUUAAAAUAAAAUCAAAAGAAAAUAAAUAAAACGAAACA